rnacentral:tRNA from 1 species
GGGGGUGUAGCUCAGUGGUAGAGCACGUGCUUUACGUGUAUGAAAUCCUGGGUUCAAUCCCCAGUUGCCUCCA